rnacentral:lncRNA from 1 species
AGCUAACAGAUGAGAUCCUAGUCAUUGGCCAAGCAGCAUUGUACCUAAUACAAGUUUCUGUGUAUUCAUUUGGGCCUAACUCGGGCAGGCAGCUGAGCUCACUCGUGGCGGUGGGGCUUGGGCGGCUUUUGGCAGAAAGAUUUACUGUAACAGAUCCUGAAGUAUAUAAGAAAGUUAUCUGAUUCAAGAUACAGUCAGAAUGCAAUAGGUUACCCCGUAGAAUUCAUUCCAGUCUUUCACCUGUGGACAUAUUAUGCCUGACAGAUAUGAAGAGCACACUUGUGAACAGAACCUUGAGCCAAGAAGACAACAGGCCUUUGAGCUGCAUCAUGAGGCUGAAUGACACACACCUUUAAUCCAGACCUCCAGGCUGGAAGCCACACCUUUAAUCCUAGCCACACCUGCAGGAAGAACAAGGGAAGAAGGGUGUGUUCUUUCUUUGCCUGUUUGCCCUUGCCUUGCCAGCACAUCCUUUCCUUCACUGGCAUUGGAGCCUAAUUCUUCAGGAUUCCAACAUAUAUGGAAGACCAGCUGAGACGUCCAGCCUCAUGGAACUGAGCAACUAUAGGUUCUUGGCCUUUCCAUGCAGUCUCCAACUGACUUCCCUAUUAGUCAUGGCUUCUCUCCAGCAGACAAAGGAUGCACUUGUUUUCUUGGAGGAGUUCAGGAGACCACUGUCCUCAGCACUGAUUUCCAUUUGUCAGCAAGCCCAGGAGCCUUCCAGGCUGUGGGUGGCAGAGCCUCAGAUUUUGCCUCUAGCAUGGAAUGUCUGAAGGGGGCUGGAUUGGAAAUCAGAAGGACUCCAUCCUAUCCAGCUCAGCUCUGUGAGCCACAAAUGCCUCCAAGCCUCAGAUCCCCCAAUUCCCACCCCAAAAGAGCUGCCUGCUCUCCAGGGUGAAUCUUCUCCCUACUUCCCUGGGGAGGGGGUAUUGGAAAGCUCCUUUGAGUUGGGUCUGCUCUCAUGACCUAGCUAUAAGUAUUUUUUGUGUCAAAAAGCAGCAGAAUCAUUCUCUUUGAUGUUUUGCUAUUUAUUAACUAGGAGGUAAAAUUGAGAUUAUUCCAAAACUUCAAAACCUUUUUAAUUUUGGAUGCAAAACAUAAUUUCCGUAAAUCUAUUAAUUUCCCUGAAUUGGGUCUAGCAAUUUAUUUUUUCUGGUCUGUUUAUGCUCCUGACCCCUUCCAAUCCCCUUUUAAGUCCUAGAAAGUCUAGCACCUUAAGGCCUCACAAAUCCCAUGACUUUUUUGCAAACACUCUUGAAGAUAUAAUCUUCAUAAUAAAAUUCAAUUUGAUUGUGUUAUUUAAUAUUGUCUGAAGGCAUCAUGGAUGACUUAUUGAUUUUUCAAAAUUAAAACUAAGAACAAAGAGAAACCCACCCAAUUGUUUGCAGCCCAC